AGUCCCGCCUUCUUGUGGAAAGAACUCUGUUGUCAAGGGACUAUUUUUCUCAUCCUAAUUCCAGAGCUGCUUUUAGAAAACGGAAGGAGACAGGAUUAUAGAAUGUGUGGAGCACGCAAAGAGUGUCAAGGGAACGUGGCGGGGUGGGGUCAGGGGCGUGAAGACCUGGCCCCGCCCCCUGAAGGACUGGGAGGAGUUACAAGGGCAGAAGUAAAGUGGAGAAAGACGCAGAAGGUGGCUUUGCUAAGCAACUGCUUACCAGAGUGUCAAAUAGACUGGCCACCGUGUGCAGGGUCCAGACUGUCUUCUUCUGUGCAUGUAUCCCAGCACCUACACAGGACCACCAUCAUGGCAGUGUUGCUCAUCCAUUCUACACCCACCCCUCUGCCAGCCCCUGCGUGCUUUCUUUCGAAGGCUUCCCUACAGCACUUCAAACAUAGCAGCCAUAGUAGCCAUUUUUCAUACUUAAGGUCUCAAACAUUCCUGUUUCCCUGGAAAGUGCAAAGACUCUGGGCAUCAUGUCCCAGUGCCUAACAGAGCCUCACAAGAAUUCCAUGACUAAAGGCAUCCCAGUUCCAACCUAAACCAGUGAGAGAAGGGAAGAGAAGACUGCUUUCUCUGAAUCAUAGCAGUGCCCUUUCUGAAACAAAACAUACAGCACAGUUUUUCCUUUUUAAGAUCUUAUCUCACAAACAUACCGUGUAAAAAUGUAUGUGCAGAUUUGUUCAUUGCAGCAAUACUGGUAACAGUACUGGUAAAAGUCUCUCAUCAGGAAGGGAUUGCUUCAACUGUGGUACGUCACACAAUGGAACCCCAUGCGGCCACAAAAAGGGGUGAGGUAGGUCUAUACGUGCUAACAGUAAAACUGUCACAACUAAGCGAAAGCACAAGUUGCAAAAAAGAGAGAAUGUGUGGUUUGAUUACAUUUCUGUAAAAAUAAAAAUCGUUGAUUUUUAAAUGUUAGUAAAUUAUAAGAUAUACGCCAAAAUUAACUAUGGUUACCUCCAAGGGAGGAAAGAGUAGUGUGUGUGUGUGUGUGUGUGUGUGUGUGUGUGUGUGUGUGUGUGGGCGCGUGGCAUGUGGUAAGGGAAGGCUUUCAGAAUUUCUUACCAUGAGCAUAUAUUACUUUGGUAAUCAGAAUAAAUAAAUGUUACUUUAAACAAUCCAAAUAUAAGCAGGGCCAUUGAAAGAUGUGAACUGAUGUUCUGAAUUGCCAAGCACUUUGUGGAUGAGUUUUAUAGACUGUUUUUGGGUAAGCAGGUCCCUUGUCCCCUUCUCUCAAGGUCAAAAAAGCCUAAGCAAAAAUUCCUCCUUUCCCUUCAUUCUACAACCUCUCUUCCGCCCAACAGUAAUCAUCCACAAAAAAGAAACAUCUGAUAUGCUUGAGGGGUUUCCAGAAAACAAGACUUUCCCACUGGGAAGUUAGAGAGCACCCUGGGAAGAAAAAUGGGGAGCUAACAUUUGAGUUCUGCAUGGCAUCUAAGAAUUCCCAAGUCAAUCAACUGUAUCUACUCCGAAGAGCCCCUUCUGGUCUGGGAAGGCCCUCAAAUGCCAAUGGGUCACCACGGAGGUAACGUGCUCUGUAGAUAAACAUGUGCACACAAAGCACCGUGUCCUCAGGAGCUUUGGGGACGUGCUCGUUAUAAUGAGGUAUUGAGAUGCUGUCCCAGAGACCUGGGAGACCAAGAGAAAUCUGCAGAGCCUGGAGUCAAAAGGGCCGCGGCAUGAGAGUGCCUGCUUGAGAAGACCAGGCCAGUGAUGGUGCUGGAAAAGUCCCAAGUCCAUCCACUCGAUGUCCUGUCGGCCUUACAAAGUCUGCUGGCGGUGGGCCUGCGGGCCCUCCUCGCUGGUGUCCGGGGGCCGGGGGGGGGCAGGCACUGUCUCGGGCUCCCACACCUGUGGAACUGCUUGGAUACGACAGAAGCUGCUCCAGGGGCCACUGUGACGCCGUGGUGACCCUGAGGGGCCUCUUUGCUUUCCCCCCACAAUUGCUUCAGAAACUGUGAGUGUCCACACCUGCGUUCCCACAGUCACCUGUGCAGGACAAGCAGCAAAGACAGAAGAAGGAAUGUUGUGGGAACAAGUGGCUUGUGUGAAUAGUGGGCACCCCUGAGCCGCCUGGGUAUCGGGGUCUGCCUGUUGCUCCUGCUCUCUACAGGCUGUGGGAGGACGCAGGCCACAGCCAGAGGCCAAGCUGGCUGGCCACCCGGUUAUGGCUGCCUUCACCUCCCCACGGCACAGCUAUCCUCAGAGGGCAGGCCUGAGGGAGCCAGGGAAGGCUCAUUUGUAAAGCAGGUUUCCUUUGUUUUCACUCAACAAAUACAACUGGUGCUUCCACUGCACCCUCUCUCACAGCGGAGUGGGCCACUUUUCCUCCCAGCUCGAGGGAGCUUCCAAAUGCCACCAGAAGCAGCCCUCGGAUCUGGCCCUGAGACCCCUGACCCUUGCCUGCUGGAGGACAGCAGACUCCACCAGCCUCCAAGCUAAGAUGCUUUUUCAGAAGGGGCCAUGGGGAAGAGGGGCAAAAUGGGGAAGUGGAAUGAACUAUGGAGACACCAGCAAAAGGAAAGCAAAGAAGGGGCUAAGGCAUCUUCUGGAGGUCACUAGAGAUGAUGUUUACCGCCUAGUCAUUGGAUUAGAAGGAAGGGUCAAGGCAAAACAUGGCUUUCCUGGCUCGCCCAGUCUAUUAGAGUCACCUGCGGUUUGCCCCAUUCCCAGGAUUAGUUCACCGUACCUGUUCAACUUCUCAUCCCUGGUCAAGAGCUUCCUUAAAAACGGCCCUCCUCACCUCUGGGACUCCCCUUGCUUUUCCUCUGGCUAGAACCUGCUCUUCUUUUUCACUCAGUCCUCUGUGGCCAUGGGUCUUGGUUAACGGCCCCUUCCACACUGAAAACUCUCCAUACGUUUCUUUUAAAACCUUUUAUUCAAUAAUAUAUACUUUUAAAAUUAUAAUAUGUAACUGCCCGUCAUGCCAUAUAUUGCCCCCCGUUCCCCACUGUGGAGUCUGUGGUCGGCUAGUUAACGUGGUCUGCUGGAAAAACAGGUGGCCACAGGCCGAGUCAAGGGGCACGGGAGAGCAACAGUAACCAACAACCAUUUUGCAUACCCUUCACAUUUCCCAUGCUUUCUGGGUCAGGAGGAAGUCAACAGGAAGCCAAAGGCGUGUGAACCUUUUACAUUCAGAAGUGAGGUUUGAAAUACGGUGGCGGGCUGCCCUUCGGUUGGUCUGGUUCGUGCUCGCCAAACCUGCCACCAUUUUGUGUCUGCUCACGGAACGUGAUCGCGCUCUACACACGUUAAGACGUUUGAUUUGGUUCUUGUUCUGCUUAUGGAAAAGUGGGAGGAACCGCAACAGACCUGGGGAAAGAGAUGGGAGGAGGGGAAAGACGACAUUAAUCAAUCUGACCCGGAGUGAGGACAGGCCUCCACUUGCCUGUGGCUUCCUUCUCUCGAAGAGUGCUGGGAACAGUGUGCAAGCUUGACUUUCCCACGCCACUGUGUGGAAAACCUGGUAAGAACUAACUCUACAAUCUCGGGUUUCGAGUAAUACCCUCUUCCUUCCUCUCGUGAUCACCACUAGCAGAGGCGGUUUCGGGUGCAGGCUCCUGGGAGGAAGAGGGGAAAGCUCCGGACACAGCAUGUGUGCCCGAGUCUCCUCCCUGCCUCUUGGGUUCAGAGUGCAGAUUUAGGAGCACCGAGGCCUCUCGACUGUUCUGAGCAAGCUGAGUGACAGGCUCAACAGUCCAACGCUGGGUCCCCAUCAGCCUUGACCCCGUUUACUGAGGAUGUCUUGGGACUAAUAAUCAGAGGACUGUAUUUAUACCAGGAAAGUGCCCAGUCCACUAAUAAACAAAGAGCAAAAAGGGAGCUCAAAUAUUUUUAACUCUCCCCUGGGAGCAGCUGUGAGGCAUGGCCUAAAAACCCCAUUUUCCCUUCCAUGUCCAGCACAGUGAAGUGGGUGGUGAGAUGCCAGCAGCGGAAUUCUAGAAGCAACGUCUCACAGAUCGGCACUACAUUGAGAGAAAAGGACUGUGCCCCUGGGAAGCUGUCACAGAAACAUCGCUUCGUGAAAACUUCCUCUGGGUAAAGGAAGAAAGGCCUUUCUUGAGAAAGGCCGCAUGGUGCGUGAGGUUCAAGAAAGAAAGGACUAUUUGCCUUUAAGCACUUCAGCAACUGAUUUCCAAGCGUCCAGCGCCACUGAGGGUUCCAUCAGUGAGAAGCACACUAAUUAAAGACACCAUCAUCUGCCAAAUGCAGACACACAAUAGCGUGUGCCCGCUCUUGAUGCAAGGAAUGGGAGUGGGGAGAGGUUUUCAUAAACGCAGAACACUCAGCCACAAAGGUUAAAGUUGUGCACUAAAAUGGGCCAAUCCCAGAAGCAGGUGCCUAGGAGGGGGAUUCUGGAGCAAGUACCAAGAAACAGCACAAGCCCCACAUGACACCACUCUAGUCCCACCUCUCUUGAUAAAGGAAAGCUCCACACGAAGGUGGUGAUGAACUGCAACCCCCAUACACACAUCUUUCCAGUUCAAGGUGCACCCCUCCUCUCCCCCAAGAGACAGGAAAUACAAGUUUAAGGGCCUCAUAGCAGUGGCUUGUCUCCCGCUUGGGAAUCUGGUGGUUAUCAACAUUUUUAUUUUUGAAAACAAGGUUUCACAUGACACUUGUCUUUCCUCUAAGGGCAGCAGCACAUCAAUCAGACAUCAGUCAUCCAGUGAUACAAAGAGGUGGCCAAGUGUGUCUGAAGUGAUCAUUUGGAAGGGAUCACAACCCAGGCAGUGUUGCUGUUCUGCAAACAGAAGGAAAUAGUUGGCUCCACGGUUCUUGAAGAUUUAUCCAAGCUUUCCACAGGGUGUCCAGAUUUCUGUCCCAACCUCUUAGUCGCCAUUUACAGCAAGAAAAGCCAGCAAGUGCAAAACUGUUAAUUUAUUGAUUCAACGAAAGUUUGUUUUUUUUUUUUU